rnacentral:lncRNA from 1 species
GGGACCCUCACCACGUGGUGGUCGAAGCCGGCCGUGGGCAGCCAGGCGCGUGCGGGCAGUUUGUGGUUGAGCAGCGACAGCUCCGAGAUGAGCCGCUGCGUCUUCUGCUCUUUGGUGGGCAGCGUGGCCAGGCGCUUCCCGAUGGCCAUCAGGGAUUUGAUGAACUCCCGCUCGGGAGCGAGCCUGACGGGCUCCUCCUCGCUCUCCACUUUGGGAUUGCUGGCUGUGCGCUUCAGAUUGCUGCUCAGGCUGAUGGUCACCGUGGCGUCCGACUUGGACCUCUGGUGAGUCCUUUUGGAAGGGGACAGCCCCAUGUCGGGCGCCGGGCUCAGCGAAGGCAGCUCCCUCUUCUUGUGAGCGGGCUUCAGCUCGUCCGAGAGGAUGAGCUUCCGCAGCUUGGUCCCGCGGGAGUGCCGCUGAGUGGAGAUGUGCAUGUCGGACGAGUAGGCGCCCAGCAGCAGCGCGCACUGCAGGGAGAAGUUGAUGCUCUGCCGGCAGCGGUGCACGAUGUAGGGCUUGAUGGCGUCCCCCACGUCCUCGUCCAUGUGAAUGUACAUAUUGAGCAGCUGCGGCAGGUAGAAGUCCACGUCCUCGUUCCUAAAGCAGAACAACCUAUUCCCGAUGUAAGCCUGCACGCCGGGUUCCUUUGAAUUGUACAGGUAUGAAAUGGCCAUGGAGAUAUCAAAGAGUUUGGAUUCAAAGAGCCGGAGGAGCCAGGACUGCUUCGCCGAGUUGUUCUUCUGCCGCUUCCGGGCCGUUUUCACCGUGUUGGCCGCAGUCUCGUCCUCCUCCUCCUGGAUCCUGCAGGCCGUGCCGGGCAGGUCGUCCAGGCAGCGGAUCUCACAGCCCUCCACCAGCUCCCCGUUGGCCAAAUCCCCGGCAGCCCGCAGGCCGCGCUCCGCCUCGCCGCCAUCGCCCGUGCUAGUCGAGCUGUCUGAGGAGACGCCGUGCAUCAGCUUGACCUUCUCCAGGACCUCCUCGCAGGCCUUCUUGGCCACCUCGGGGUCGAUGACUGCCAGCUCCCCGACGCCCUCGGUGAUGACGCUGAGGGCCGACCCGUUGCCCUGCGGCACACAGCCGGGCUCCGCGCCGCUCCCCCGCGCUGGGUCUGCGAUGGAGUCUCCCAUAGCAGUGGUGGGCCUGCACCGCUCAGAGCUGCAGCGCUGCGGACCCGCGGGACGGCGGUGCGGAGCUCCGGGGCGGCCGCGCGGGGUUCCCGGAGCGGCUCAUCCUGAGCCGAACGCUCUCGGUGCUCCGGGAAAGGGCCCCGAACCGAACGAUUCGGCCUCCGCGGCGCUCUCCGGGGCCGCUCGGUUCGGGGAAGCGGCGCUGGGCCCGGCGGAAGGCGGAAGGCAGCGACGGAGCGGCGGAGGCGGCGCAGGCCCCGGCGGCCCGGGCUGCCCGCGGCGCCGCC